CCUACGGGAGGCAGCAGUGGGGGAUAUUGCACAAUGGGGGGAACCCUGAUGCAGCGACGCCGCGUGGGUGAAGAAGCGCCUCGGCGCGUAAAGCCCUGUCAGCAGGGAAGAAAAUGAAGGUACCUGAAGAAGAAGCUCCGGCUAACUACGUGCCAGCAGCCGCGGUAAUACGGAGGGGGCAAGCGUUAUCCGGAUUUACUGGGCGUAAAGGGGGCGCAGUGGGGGAUGUAAGUCAGGAGUGAAGGCCCGGGGCCGAACCCCGGGACAGCUGUUGGAACUGCGUGGCUGGAGUGCAGGAGGGGCAGGCGGAAUGCGUGGUGGAGCGGUGAAAUGCGUAGAUAUCAGGAAGAACACCGGUGGCGAAGGCGGCAUGCUGGACUGCAACUGACGUUGAGGCACGAAAGCGUGGGGAGCAAACAGGAUUAGAUACCCGUGUAGUC
rnacentral:rRNA from 1 species